GAUGAACGCUAGCGGCAGGCCUAAUACAUGCAAGCUGAACGGUAAAUGUUAUAGCAAUAUAAUAUGAGAGUAGCGUAAGGGUGCGUAACACGUAUGCAAUCUACCCGCAACAGGAGGAUAGCUCCCCGAAAGGGGAAUUAAUACUCCAUAAGAUCACGAGAGGGCAUCUGAUUGUGAUUAAACUCCAAGGGGUUGCGGAUGAGCAUGCGUCUGAUUAGUUAGUUGGUGAGGCAACGGCUCACCAAGACGAUGAUCAGUAGGGGAACUGAGAGGUUGAUCCCCCACACUGGCACUGAGAUACGGGCCAGACUCCUACGGGAGGCAGCAGUAGGGAAUAUUGGUCAAUGGGUGAGAGCCUGAACCAGCCAUGCCGCGUGCAGGAAGAAAGCCUUCUGGGUUGUAAACUGCUUUUGCCAGGGGAUAAAAUACCCAUGCGUGGGGAAUUGAAGGUACCUGGUGAAUAAGCCACGGCUAACUACGUGCCAGCAGCCGCAGUAAAAC
rnacentral:rRNA from 1 species